rnacentral:lncRNA from 1 species
CAUUAUUGAAGAGAAUCAAAGGCUGAGAAAGAAAACACUUGUUCUUCAUCAAGAGAACAAAGCCUUGAUGUCUCAACUCCUCAAACUUUAUCAUUAAUCUUAGGACCCUAUAUUAUUUAUAAUUCCGUUCUUAGACUUUAAUCUUUUUCUUAGCGAAGUUCUCAUAAUUAAAAUGAAUAAAUAAAAAGUUAGAUUUUUGCUCUUUAUUAUAUAUGGUAUUGGAAUCACCCUUUGUUAUCAUAUCAUAUGGAGAGACAUAAGUAAACAAGUCAAUAUACAAUCUUUACCCUCGUGUAUGAAUUAAAUUAACUAAUUAUGGG